AACAAACGCUGGCGGCGUGCCUAAUACAUGCAAGUCGAACGGGGAAAGCUUUCGGGUGAGUACUAGUGGCGCACGGGUGAGGAACGCGUGGAUAAUCUGCCUUAGAGUGGGGGAUAACUAGUCGAAAGAUUAGCUAAUACCGCAUAAGACCACGAGAGCUGCGGCUUUUGAGGUCAAAGGUUUUUCGCUCUAAGAUGAGUCCGCGUAAGAUUAGCUAGUUGGUGAGGUAACGGCUCACCAAGGCGACGAUCUUUAACUGGUCUGAGAGGAUGAUCAGUCACACUGGAACUGAGACACGGUCCAGACUCCUACGGUAGGCAGCAGUAGGGAAUAUUGCACAAUGGAGAAAACUCUGAUGCAGCGACGCCGCGUGAGUGAUGAAGGCCUUCGGGUCGUAAAGCUCUGUCGCAGGGGAAUAACACAAUGAAGGUACCCUGUAAGAAAGGAUCGGCUAACUUCGUG
rnacentral:rRNA from 1 species